UACGGGGGGGGCAAGCGUUGUUCGGAAUUACUGGGCGUAAAGGGCUCGUAGGUGGCCAACUAAGUCAGACGUGAAAUCCCUCAGCUUAACUGGGGAACUGCGUCUGAUACUGGAUGGCUUGAGUUUGGGAGAGGGAUGCGGAAUUCCAGGUGUAGCGGUGAAAUGCGCAGAUAUCGGGAAGAACACCGAUGGCGAAAGCACUCUGCUGGGCCGAAACUGACACUGAGAGACGAAAGCUAGGGGAGCGAAUGGG
rnacentral:rRNA from 1 species